rnacentral:rRNA from 1 species
GACGUAGGAGGCGAGCGUUGUCCGGAAUCAUUGGGCGUAAAGAGCGUGUAGGCGGCCCGGUAAGUCCGCUGUAAAAGUCAAAGGCUCAACCUUUGAAUGUCAGUGGAUACUGCCGGGCUAGAGUCCGGAAGAGGCGAGUGGAACUCCUGGUGUAGCGGUGGAAUGCGCAGAUAUCAGGAAGAACACCAACGGCGAAGGCAGCUCGCUGGGACGGUACUGACGCUGAGACGCGAAAGCGUGGGGAGCGAACAGG